AUCAAUAUAUUAUGUUUAAUUGUUUAUAUCAAAUGAAUUCAUCCAUUAUGAUAACCAAUUUUUGUAUUUAUUGGAUGUAUAUAAGUACUAAUUUAUAUAUAUUUAUAUAGGUUUAAAUCCCUUUUUGGUCCUUAAGUUAUAAGCUGGUAUUCAGUUUAGUCCUCAUUUUUAAAAAUGUCAACCUUUGAUCCCUAAGUUAUAAAAAAUGUUUCAAAUCAGUCCCUGCCGUUAAAUAUCCACUAACAGAGUUAACUUUUUCUUUCUCUCUUCUGCUCCUCUGAAUUUCUUCGAACACUAACAACUUUUUCUUUCUCUCUCUCAAGUUCUCUAUUUCUCCUUCUUUAUGUUUAAAUAUAUAUUUUUCUCUCUCCUCACUCAAAACUCACCACCACCAAACCCUCCUCCAACACCAUCACCUCCACCUGUUCCUCCUCCUUCGCCAAACCCUCCUCCAACUCCAAACCCUCCCACAUGGCCAUAGCUGAAUAAAAUUUUUUUACUAUUACUCAUCAUGUCGAGGCAAUGAUGAAGUGAUGGCAAGGGAAACUUUUGCAAACAUUCGCCUUGUUAACAACCACUUCUUCUCAGUUCCCUCACAACCCUUUCUCUCAUAAAUGAAAGCUAUGGAAGCACUUCUUCUCACUUCUCCCACGAAGUUGCCUCCUUCUUUCCUCUUACUUUCUUCACUCCCAAACCAUUUACAUUUCAAUAUUCCCCAAACACGACCCAGUCUCCCCUCUCUCACAAAUUGAAAGAAUUAGGGAAUAAACUCUUUUGGUUACUUUUGUUUUUUCCCUUGUAAGUCGAUGCUUAUUGAAAUGAUUUUUAGUCAAUUUUUUUAAUUAGAUUUCUCUGUAUAUUAUUAUACUACCAAGUUAAUAUGUUUUGUUGUUACAAAGAGUAUGAAUUACACAUCAGCCACGCAUAAUUUCUGUUUGUUACUUCAGUUCUAACCAAAGUUUGGAAAUUAGAUUAUUCUACAGAGAUUCAUCUCUAGUAAAUAUUUAGGUAUGAUUAUCUUGUUUUAGGCCUGUCUUAUUUUCCACCUGUCCAAUUUUCCCAAAUCUGUAACAUUCAAUUAAAGUUGUGAC
rnacentral:lncRNA from 1 species